UACGUAGGGGGCAAGCGUUGUCCGGAUUUAUUGGGCGUAAAGAGCGUGUAGGCGGCCAUGUAGGUCCGUUGUGAAAACUCGAGGCUCAACCUCGAGACGCCGAUGGAAACCAUGUGGCUAGAGUCCGGAAGAGGAGAGUGGAAUUCCUGGUGUAGCGGUGAAAUGCGCAGAUAUCAGGAGGAACACCGAUUGCGAAGGCAGCUCGCUGGAACGUUACUGACGCUGAGACGCGAAAGCGUGGGGAGCAAACAGG
rnacentral:rRNA from 1 species